rnacentral:rRNA from 1 species
UACGCAAUCUACCCUUUUCUGGGGCAUAGCCCGAAGAAAUUCGGAUUAACACCCCAUAGUAUACGAGAGUGGCAUCACUCAUGUAUUAAAAAUUUAUUGGAAGAGGAUGAGCGUGCGUCCCAUUAGCUAGUUGGUAGGGUAACGGCCUACCAAGGCGACGAUGGGUAGCUGAUGUGAGAGCAUGAUCAGCCACAAGGGCACUGAGACACGGGCCCG